GAAAAGAACUUUGAAAAGAGAGUAAAAUAGUACGUGAAAUUGUUGAAAGGGAAACGAUUGAAGUCAGUCGUACCGACGAGAAAUCAGCUCUUUGAGUGUUUACUUGUGGGCGUGCUUGAGUCUUUAACGGGCCUUGCUGUUUGCAUGUUUGCGCUUUUUGGGUGUUCUUUUUCGUAUGGUUGGCCAACGUCAGUUUCGAUCACCAUAAAAUGAUCGGGGGAAUGUGGCUUCGAUUUCGAUUGAAGUGUUAUAGACUUUGGUAGAUGUGGUGAUCGAAACUGAGGAUUGCAACGAAUACCUUUUGGGCUAUCCGUCUGUCCUCUGAAAGUUGCCUAGGUGCCGAAAGCUUGCUUACGGUCGUCUACGGUGGCGGUCAAUAGGGUAGAACGUGAUUACAUUC
rnacentral:rRNA from 1 species